AUGCUUGAAGCAAUUCUUGGAAACCUUCACAAUAACAAACUCAUUAGUAGCAUGAGAGGGAUAAAAAUAAAACCAAAUGAAAUUGCAACAAUUAGAAAAUGUAUUAGUAAUCACAAGGAAACUAAACCAAAGAAACUCGUGCUAUUAUUCAAUCCAAAAUCGAAAUAUAGAAAGUUGAUUUCGAAACAAGCUAAGAUCAAACAAAUCAAAUCAGGGCAGCCAUGA